rnacentral:rRNA from 1 species
UACGAAGGGGGCUAGCGUUGCUCGGAAUCACUGGGCGUAAAGCGCACGUAGGCGGAUCUUUUAAGUCAGGGGUGAAUCCUGAGCUCAACUCCAGAACUGCCUUUGAUACUGGGGAUCUCGAGUCCGGAAGAGGUGAGUGGAACUCCGAGUGUAGAGGUGAAAUUCGUAGAUAUUCGGAAGAACACCAGUGGCGAAGGCGACUUACUGGACACAUAUUGACGCUGAGGUGCGAAAGCGUGGGGAGCAAACAGG